rnacentral:rRNA from 1 species
CCCUUAGAUGUUCUGGGCCGCACGCGCGCUACACUGACGAUGGCAACGAGUUUUUCCUUCGCCGAAAGGUGUGGGUAAUCUUUUGAACCAUCGUCGUGCUGGGGAUAGAUCAUUGCAAUUUUUGAUCUUGAACGAGGAAUUCCUAGUAAGCGCGAGUCAUCAGCUCGCGUUGAUUACGUCCCUGCCCUUUGUACACACCGCCCGUCGCUACUACCGAUUGAAUGGUUUAGUGAGGACUCCUGAUUGGCGCCGCCGCCCCGGCAACGGAGCAGCGGACUGCCGAAAAGUUGUUCAAACUUGAUCAUUUAGAGGAAGUAAAAGUCGUAACA